rnacentral:rRNA from 1 species
GGUGUCGUCAGCUCGUGCCGUGAGGUGUCAGGUUAAGUCCUAUAACGAGCGCAACCCCUGUUGUUAGUUGCCAGCGAGUCAAGUCGGGAACUCUAGCAAGACUGCCAGUGCAAACUGUGAGGAAGGUGGGGAUGACGUCAAAUCAUCACGGCCCUUACGCCUUGGGCUACACACGUGCUACAAUGGACGGUACAGAGAGCAGCCACUACGCAAGUAGGCGCGAAUCUUCAAAGCCGUUCUCAGUUCGGAUCGGAGUCUGCAACUCGACUCCGUGAAGCUGGAUUCGCUAGUAAUCGCAGAUCAGCCAUGCUGCGGUGAAUACGUUCCCGGGCCUU